rnacentral:rRNA from 1 species
AUUGAACGCUGGCGGCAUGCCUUACACAUGCAAGUCGAACGGCAGCACGGGUGCUUGCACCUGGUGGCGAGUGGCGAACGGGUGAGUAAUACAUCGGAACAUGUCCUGUAGUGGGGGAUAGCCCGGCGAAAGCCGGAUUAAUACCGCAUACGAUCUACGGAUGAAAGCGGGGGCCCUUCGGGCCUCGCGCUAUAGGGUUGGCCGAUGGCUGAUUAGCUAGUUGGUGGGGUAAAGGCCUACCAAGGCGACGAUCAGUAGCUGGUCCGAGAGGACGACCAGCCACACUGGGACUGAGACACGGCCCAGACUCCUACGGGAGGCAGCAGUGGGGAAUUUUGGACAAAGGGCGAAAGCCUGAUCCAGCAAUGCCGCGUGUGUGAAGAAGGCCUUCGGGUUGUAAAGCACUUUUGUCCGGAAAGAAAUCCUUGGCCCUAAUACGGUCGGGGGAUGACGGUACCGGAAGAAUAAGCACCGGCUAACUACGUG